ACUGCUCAGUAACACGUGGACAACCUGCCCUUAGGUUGGGUAUAAACCCGGGAAACUGGGUAUAAUACCCGAUAGGUCUCGAUUGCUGGAAUGCAUCGAGAUUUAAAGCUCCGGCGCCUAAGGAUGGGUCUGCGGCCUAUCAGGUAGUAGUGGGUGUAGCGUACCUACUAGCCUACGACGGGUACGGGUUGUGAGAGCAAGAGCCCGGAGAUGGAUUCUGAGACACGAAUCCAGGCCCUACGGGGUGCAGCAGGCGCGAAAACUUUACAAUGCUGGCAACAGCGAUAAGGGAACCUCGAGUGCCAGGUUACAAAUCUGGCUGUCGAGAUGCCUAAAAAGCAUUUCAUAGCAAGGGCCGGGCAAGACCGGUGCCAGCCGCCGCGGUAACACCGGCGGCUCGAGUGGUAACCGUUAUUAUUGGGUCUAAAGGGUCUGUAGCCGGCCGGAUAAGUCUCUUGAGAAAUCUGGCAGCUUAACUGUCAGGCUUUCAGGAGAUACUGUCUGGCUCGAGGCCGGGAGAGGUGAGAGGUACUUCAGGGGUAGGGGUGAGAUCUUGUAAUCCUUGAAGGACCACCAGUGGCGAAGGCGUCUCACCAGAACGGACCUGACGGCAAGGGACGAAAGCUAGGGGCACGAACCGGAUUAGAUACCCGGGUAGUCCUAGCCGUAAACGAUACUCGCUAGGUGUCGGCCACGGUGCGACCGUCGUCGGUGCCGUAGGGAAGCCGUGAAGCGAGCCACCCGGGAAGUACGGCCGCAAGGCUGAAACUUAAAGGAAUUGGCGGGGGAGCAC
rnacentral:rRNA from 1 species